UUGUGUGAGUUCUAUGCACUGGAUUAGUUCAUUUGAAACCUGGAGUUGGAUUAGCCUAUGCAUUUUGGUUUGAUACUGUCAGUCUUAAUUAACCUUUAAAAACGUAUAGGUUCAGGACCAGUCCAGACCAGACCACUCAUUUGGAACAAGUGUUGUGUUUGUCCUUCAAAGAUGGACUUCUCCAAUCAAGAAACCCCACACUGUCAUGGCUACCAUUAUUUGUAUUUACAAUCAUCAUCCUGAAUGGAGGGAAUCUGAGCUAUGAAUCUGUGAAUUAGGAUGAGCGAAGACUGGCCUGUUUAACACAGCAUGAUCAUCUGUGUGUCCUGUUACAGCCCAGGCUACGAGACACACACAUGCGUCCAGGACUCAGGCUGGGUGUCGUGUGUUUUUCCUGUGCUGGGCUUCUGUCUCUCAGUUCUGAAGAGGGUGUUGACAUGUAUUAACUCAUGCAAAAGGAAAAUAAGUCUCUGAGUCUCAGUGUCAUUCUUCAUGGCCAUUGAAUGUAAAUGUAUUGAUUUUUAUUGAAUUAUUGUAGUGAUUCUUUUUGAAUAAAUAUAGAUUGUUUUUUU